AUGCUAUUCUUUAAAAAGAAUAGAGCAAGCUGUUAGAGGCAUUUUUUUGCUUUUGUUAAUUGUAUAAUAAAA